AGAAGACUCACCACACUGGCUCACUAUCUUCCCUCCUGCUUAUGGUCAGGGGGCCCAGACAUAUUCCACUGAAACAAGUGUUUCACUACCUUAAGUGAAUGCAGACAUAUUCGGUCCCCAGAACUGUCAUCACUCUGGGGUUCUCAAAUGACUGUCUCUGCUCUCUUGUCUGGCACAGAGUGGGGAAAAGUCCUAGGCAGGGAUAGGCAGGGAAUUGUGAGCCCUGAAACUGGCCUUUCUGUCCUCUGUUCCAUUAGAAUGCAGAAAUAGCACCAAGCCAUCUUCUGUUCUACAGAUAUGGAUGGAUGUCUUCCUAGGACAUGGCUGAGCAGUUCUAUAGAAUAAACCUGGAGCUCUUAGUGACUCCAUGGAGAAGAGUUGCACAACAACCCUGAGGGAAUGCACCUGGCAGCUUGGAAAAAACUUACCAUCAUCAAUUUUAGGAAGUUUCUGACCCCUACCUAUAGCGUGGGUGGCUGCGUGGAUGGUGUUCUGUUAAAAACAGCAGAAGUGACUGUCUUUCUCACGGACUGCAAAAAUAAUAUUGAGUUCUUUUAAAUCUGUGAGAAAAAGAAAAUACACUUAUCUGCAAUGGAUAAUAAAAGGUAUCAAAUCAAUAGAAAAUUCUCA
ensembl:lncRNA